GAUUUUAAUAAUUUAGGCAAUACUAUUUCACGAAGGGCAUUGAGCUAAUUGUAUUAUUGUUUUAGCUUUUAAAUUAUAUGUGGCAACAUAUAAAGAUUAAAUACAAUUAGGGGUGACAGGCCUAUCAACGUGUCAGAUAUCUUGAUCUAUAGGAAAACUAUUAAGUAUUUAAGCAAACUAGAAAUGGUUAGGUUUCUAUUACACAUUAAAAAUAAUUAUUUGAAUAUAGACUGUGUAAUUACUACUAUAUUUGCCUACUAGUAAUUAUAUAUUAAAUGCUUAUGUAAAAUACUGUAGGCAUUUUCUAAACCCAAAGUAAAUUAUUUAAUGAAAAUAUUAGUAUUAAUAAGGACAUAUUAUGAAGGAACUCGGCAAAAGUUUUGCUCAACUGUUUAACAAAAACAUAGCUAAAUGUUAUUACGUUUAGUUUUUUCUGCUCAAUGGAAUAUCUAAAUAGCCGCAGUA
rnacentral:rRNA from 1 species